UACGAAGGGGGCUAGCGUUGCUCGGAAUCACUGGGCGUAAAGCGCACGUAGGCGGAUUGCUAAGUCAGGGGUGAAAUCCUGGAGCUCAACUCCAGAACUGCCUUUGAUACUGGGGAUCUCGAGUCCGGGAGAGGUGAGUGGAACUGGCGAAGUUGUAGAGGUGAAAUUCGUAGAUAUUCGCAAGAACACCAGUGGCGGAAGGCGGCUCACUGGCCCCGGUACUGGACGCGUGAGGUGGCGGAAAAGCCGGUUGGGGAGCAAACAGG
rnacentral:rRNA from 1 species